AAUAAAAUCAUUACGUGUAGAAACAAAUUGAGUCUAGGUUUAAAGUGUAAUAACUCUAUAUCGCCGCAUUUUUAAUAAAUAAAUGAAUGGCAUUAACGAGCCUAUGCGAUUGCUGACAAAUGCGGCUUGGACAAGACUAAUAUCAUCAGCUGACACUUGUCACGAUGCUAUAUUAUUUAAAGAAGAAGCACACGAUUAAUCGUAUCAUUGUCGCAAGAUUUCUAUGAACUCAAAAUACUUGGAAAGGGCCCACAUCAUUGAAGCAUAAAUCGCAAAGCAACCUUGAAAUUUCUUUCUGGAACUUGUUUAUAUAUGUUAAUUAACGACUUAACUGCAGCAAGCACAGGGAUCUAAUAAAAACUGGAUAUCUAUGUUGGCUUUCUGCAGUAGAAAAAGCAGGUAUGGCUUCUUACAGGUGGAAGCGCCAUAUUUGUGUGAUAAUCGGAUUUGCGUAAAAGGGCAGAAAGAUUUGGAGUUUACAGCAAAUGUAGCCGUUUUCAUUCUCACAAAAACCACAUAAUCAGGAGUUGAUCAUAUUUAAGUUGUUUACAUGGAUUAUUAAGUUUUUCUAAAAGUUUCGCUAGCUUAAUAGCAAAUUCAAUUAUUUUUUAUAUAUUUCUAUCAGUCUGUAAUAGAUAUAAGAUUAUUGAAGCUAACUCGCAUCAAGCCAUAAAUGAACAAUAAAGACCAGGUCACUAAAAUGGCUGAUUGAGUAGGCUUUCUUUUGGCAAUACCAAAUACUUACACCUUUUAUGAAUCCAUUGCAACCUGCUAGAAACUUACAUUUACACAGCUUUAGCAUAAAAAUUUUAAUCGUUUUUUGCAUGCUAAGAAAAUGAUGAAUAAGUCAAUGUCAAAAUGAAAGCCGAAAAAAAUGAUAAACAAUAUUGUAUACAACUAGUUUCAACUCUUUCAACAUAGCAAGUACGUCCGUUUGCUAUACAAUAGUGGACAAAAGUACUUUGACAUUAGAGAAAUAAGAUUGA